ACUGCUAUCGGAUUGAUACUAAGCCAUGCGAGUCAUUGUAGUAAUACAAGGCAGACGGCUCAGUAACGCGUAGUCAACCUACCCUAUGGACGGGAAUAACCUCGGGAAACUGAGAAUAAUGCCCGAUAGAACAUUAUGCCUGGAAUGGUUUAUGUUCCAAAUGAUUUAUCGCCGUAGGAUGGGACUGCGUCCUAUCAGUUUGUUGGUGAGGUAAUGGCCCACCAAGACUAUUACAGGUACGGGCUCUGAGAGGAGUGGCCCGGAGAUGGGUACUGAGACACGGACCCAGGCCCUAUGGGGCGCAGCAGGCGAGAAAACUCUGCAAUGUGCGAAAGCACGACAAGGUUAAUCCGAGUGGUUUCUGCUAAAGGAACCUUUUGUCGGUCCUAGAAACACCGAUGAAUAAGGGGUGGGCAAGUUCUGGUGUCAGCCGCCGCGGUAAAACCAGCACCUCAAGUUGUCAGGAUGAUUAUUGGGCCUAAAGCAUCCGUAGCCGGCUCUGUUAGUUUUCGGUUAAAUCUAUACGCUCAACGUAUAGGCUGCCGGGAAUACUGCAGAGCUAGGGAGUGGGAGAGGUAGACGGUACUCGGUAGGAAGGGGUAAAAUCCUUUGAUCUAUUGAUGACCACCUGUGGCGAAGGCGGUCUACCAGAACACGUCCGACGGUGAGGGAUGAAAGCUGGGGGAGCAAACCGGAUUAGAUACCCGGGUAGUCCCAGCUGUAAACUAUGCAAACUCAGUGAUGCAUUGGCUUGUGGCCAAUGCAGUGCUGCAGGGAAGCCGUUAAGUUUGCCGCCUGGGAAGUACGUACGCAAGUAUGAAACUUAAAGGAAUUGGCGGGGGAGCACCACAAGGGGUGAAG
rnacentral:rRNA from 1 species